AGCGAGUGAAUAAAUACAAUGUACGCCAUUUACAUUUCAUAUUUAAAAUGAAAGAAAAAAUAAUAAAAAUAAAAUAAAUUUUAUUUUAUUAGAAUAUAAACGUGGAAAAAUAGGGUAAUGUUAAUCUUAAUGUCAUUAUUUUACAUCUUAUUCGUUCAGUAGUUGUACGUGUCCACACUCCUUUUUAAUAGUCCAUCAGAGGCAGUGUGGAGAUGAUUAUGUGUGAACAUUUCAGGGCAACGGUGAAGAAAGCCCCUGCAGAGCAGCGCUGUAAUGUUUUAAUAAGGCAGUGUAGUGCAGCGGCGGCGCGCGUGCAGAUAAAGAGGAGCUCCGAGCUUCGCUUCGCUCUUAACGCUGGAAAAGAAAAGACGGAAAGACAAAUGAUGAUCUCCACUUCGUCUCCUCCAUAUGAACACGCACUUGUUGGAGCGUGGAUGACAAAUGCUCGGACCCCCGACAGGGCGCCCUCCUCGAGGCCACAAACUGCGGACAAACGGACGCGCUGCUCUCCCCCCGCCGGACCAAGGCCUGGGCUGGACCCCCGCUGGAGCGGCGUGGCUGCGCUCCUGAGCUGCACGGCUGGUUGGAGAUCAUAAAAAGAGGCGGAGGAGAAACCGCAGGAGCUUUUUAGUUCUGAUCUCAGGUGUGAAAAGGAAGAAACGGGUUUAGUUUCACUGAUAACCGAACGCAUUAUCAUAAACCUACAUUUCCGUGAGAAUGUAACCCGCUGCUCGUGCCUUAAUGAUGUUUUAUUUUGAAUUUAACGACUAACACAUAAACAUCAGUUCGUACCUAAAGAACAAAAUAAUGUCGAAUCAACGUUCAUAUUUUCUUCUCUAAAGCAUUGAAACUAUGUUGUUCUUCGACGCUAGAAUUUAUUUAUUUAGUUGUGCGCAUCGACUUUACCUUAGAUCGAAAUUGAUUCAACGUCAUGACUUUAUGUGUAUUGUUUGUAUUUAAAUGACUUACAAUAAAUGUAUAUCUUGUAUGUAUUAUAUUCUUAGA
rnacentral:lncRNA from 1 species